CUUGUCUUGGUUAACUUGCCAUAUUUAUUACUGUAAUAUAUUUUCAUUUGCUUCUUAAAUACGUCUCGAUUUGCAACCCAAUAUUUUGUGUCACCAGCAAAGGCAAGGGGCCUUCAUGUCCUUCUCUAGGGUUCAAUAUAUGUUCCCUUCUUCCUCUUUCUUCCUCAACUAGCUUUUCCUUCUCAGUGUUACUUAAUCUUAUAAAAAAAAAAAGGGAGAGAUUUUGAGGAGGUUUUGUUUAGCGGGUGAAAAUGCCUUCUUCAGAUAGUCGUGGUUCUUCGAUGCCAUUUGCGUCAUUCCGUCGUUCAAUUAUGAGUAUAAGAAGUGAACAGGUUCAUUCUGUGGAAUUGAAUCAUGAUUCUACUGUUCAGGAGAUUGAGCAGGGAGUAUUUCAGAAUCUAGUGGCUACUCGAUUUCAGGAACUGUCGGUUGCCUCUGGUGAUGAAUUCCUUUCCAUUGCAUGGAUUCGGAAGUUACUAGAUGUGUUUAACAGUUGUCAGGAAGAGUUCAGAAUCGUGUUGAGCAACAAUAAGGAACUCCUCUUGAAAUCGCCUCAAGAUAAGCUUUUGGCUGACUACUUUGAUAGAACUAUAAAAGCACUUGAUAUUUGCAAUGCUGCCCGUGAUGGGACUGGGAAAAUUCGACUCUGGCAGAAGCAUUUGGAAAUUGUGGUUUCUUCAUUGGAUUCUCGACAAAAGACGAUUGGCGAUGGUCAGCUACGUCGGACUAGAAAAAGUCUGAUGGAUUUGGCUCUUGUGAUGCUAGAAGAGAAAGAAACUGGAACCGUUCUUUCCCAGAGGAACCGUUCUUUUGGACGCCAUAAUAAAACCAAGGAUCACCAGCGUCGUCCUUCUGGGCACUCAAGGUCUCUAUCUUGGAGUGUGUCUCAAUCUUGGUCAGCAUCUAAACAGCUCCAAUCAAUUGCAAGCCAUUUGGUUCCUCCCCGUGGACAUGAAAUAGCUGCAACAAAUGGGAUAGCAAACCUUGUCUUUACAAUGAACUUUGUUCUCCUGUUUGUACUGUGGGCUCUUGUUGCUGCAGUCCCUUGUCAAGAUCGAAGCCUCCAAAUUCAUUUUUCUAUCCCAAGGCAGUUCUCAUGGAGCAAUGCCCUUUGGUUGCUUCAUGGUAGGAUAAUGGAUGAAGCUAAGAAGCCAGAGCGCCGCAAUUCAAAUGGAUUGUUGAAAGAAAUAUAUAAGCUAGAAAAAUGUGUCCAUCACUUGACUGACUUGAUAGACUCUGCUCAAUUACCGUUGACCAAGGAUCUGAUGGAAGAAAUAAAAAAGGGUGGAGAAGAUUUAUCAGCUGUCUCUGAAGUUCUUAAGACUGGUCUUACUCCACUAGAACGCAAUUUAAAGGAAGUAUUCAGAAAAAUUAUGAGUUGCCGGGCAGAGGGUCUUGAACUCCUGGGAAGUGCGAAUCAGCCUUAGACUAUAUGUCGUCUUCAAGUUCUAACAAAAUGAAAAAACAUAUAUACAUUCCUAUUUUGGUUUUGCUGGUAUUAAAGAAGUAAAAAAGGAAACAAAUGUAGCAACUGUGGUUUUAGCAGGGACAAGUGCAAGAUUUUAUCUUAUUCAACCACCUGAUUCUUCGCGUCUUAGUGUUUUUCUUCACCAUUUCUUACCAGCUGCAAUCAAGUGAUAGAUAUACUUCCCCUGAAGCUUGCUUAAAUUAAGCAUGCAUCAUUCAAUGUGAUUGUGGUUGAUUUCCUUUGUCGCUCUGGUUAUAGUCGAUCGAUCCGCAGUUGUUACUUAGUAUUUGCAGCAUUCAGUCAUACUAAUAUAGUAAUGUUUUUGAUAUAGUCUUUUGGUUUACUGGAUUUAUGCAUUUCUGCAAUUCCCAUUCUAUAUUUUGGCUAGAAUAAAUUAAGCAACUCCCUCUG